GCCCUGAUGGCGGAAUCGGUAGUCGCGCUGGUCUCAUACACCAGUGGAGCAAUCCGUGCCGGUUCGACCCCGGCUCAGUGUA
rnacentral:tRNA from 1 species